AGCAGCCGCGGUAAUUCCAGCUCCAAUAGCGUAUAUUAAAGUUGUUGCAGUUAAAAAGCUCGUAGUUGAAUUUCGGGAUUGGCGCAUCGGUCGUGCCUUACGGGGUAUGAACUGGUGCAGUCAAUUUCUCACCUUCUGGAGAACCGCGAUGUCCUUAAUUGGGUGCCGCGGGGAACCAGGACCUUUACUUUGAAAAAAUUAGAGUGUUUAAAGCAGGCAUUUUUGCUUGAAUACAUUAGCAUGGAAUAAUAAAAUAGGACGGCAUGGUUCUAUUUUGUUGGUUUCUAGGACCACCGUAAUGAUUAAUAGGGAUAGUUGGGGGCAUUAGUAUUCAAUUGUCAGAGGUGAAAUUCUUGGAUUAUUGGAAGACUAACUACUGCGAAAGCAUUUGCCAAGGAUGUUUUCAUUAAUCAAGAACGAAAGUUAGGGGAUCGAAGACGAUCAGAUACCGUCGUAGUCUUAACCAUAAACUAUGCCGACUAGGAAUCAGACGAUGUUAAUUUUUUCAAUGACUCGUUUG
rnacentral:rRNA from 1 species